AUUGCAAAAUUGUGCGGAGUUGACCCUUGGGUAAAAAUCAGAAUUUACAUUUUGGUUUUAAAUUUUAUAAGUACCCUUGGCUGUGUACAUUUGAGUAAAGAGAGCACUAUAAAAUCAAAAACCAAUGAAAUGGUUUCCAGAACACAGAACUAUUAAGCUUAAGAAAAGGACAGAAGGAACUGAAGAGAGAGGAACUGUUUUGGAGCAUCACACUUCCACCUCAGAAGAAAUAAGGAAGGAAGGAGGAGGGUGUUCCCACGGCUCUUCAACCAGGCCGGCUCUUCAGCCUACAUCCCCAUCUCAUCAAGUAAAAGGGAUUUUUCAACUGGACCAACCAGAUGGUUUAACAGUGCACUCCCACACCAUUCAACUACGCAAGGGAGAUACACUUAACAUAUGCAGUCGUAUAACACCUACUAACAUUUUCAAACAUUAAACCUUUAAAAAAGAGUUCUAAAGAAAUAGAAGCUUGAAGUAUCAUCUCUCAAGUAUAUAGACACUACUUCAUGGUGUGGUAAUAUAUGCAUAUAGAAGCUAGUAAACACCUCCAGGAGAUGCAAAAGGAAUUAGAACUGCCACAAGGUGCAAGCAAAACCUUGAGGUGAGAAAAUCGAAUUUGGACACCGUUGAGGAGACUAUUGCAGUCAUCCAAGCUCAAGAUGGUGGAGCUUCAUCCUUGAGAAUAACCAAUGGGGAUAGAUUUAAGAGACACUUAGAGUCUGCAGCCAACAGGGCUGAAUGAGCAGAGAGUUAUGAUUCAGAAGAUCAUCUAAAAUUGAACAGCUGCCACUACUGGCAAUAAGUCUACUGCCAUUUGGUAGAUAACCUUCUUAUCACACAGAAAAAUAUCAGUACAGACAAAUAGACCGCAAAGAAAAUGAGACCAUCAGCAAAGAAGAUAAAGAAGUUUGUACAAAGCAACUUUUUAUAAAUGGAUGGCUGUCAGGCAAAAAUAAAUUUCCUGUGGACAAGACCAAGAGCAAGGCAAGAGGAAAAUAAACAUGUUUAAACU
rnacentral:lncRNA from 1 species